CAGUUCCAACAUUGUUGGCGACAAGAUCUUCCACACCGUUCAUUGUCAAGUAAUCAUCGAUCUCUUGCUCCUCAACUUUCUUCACUAACUCUUCAAGUCUUUUGAUACGAGCAUACCAUCACACAGAGACACACACAGAAUACAUAUGUUUCUCUGUGAUUUCUAGCAAGCAUACCAUCAAUUAAAGGGGUUAGCUGAAUCCAUUCGAGUUUCCUACUACUCGAGUUCAUCAUCACCAUCUAAUUUACCUUUUUGAUUGACCUCUUUCUACUUCUUUGUCUCUGUGAUUGAUUAUAUGAUUUUCUCCCUAACUCAUAUCACUUUCUUUUUCAGCUGUGUUGAAUAUUUUAUAUUAGAAUUUCAUCAUAGUUGUUUAAGUCAAAUAUAUUAUAUGUCAGGCUCUUUGCAUCAAAAUAUUUUCUCUUAUUCUUGUCAAACUUGUUUACAUCUUUCGAAUACUAUGGGAUGAUUUAUUCAUUUGAUUUGACUUAACUUAGAUCAUUAGCUUUUUGGACGUAAUAUUUUUCUUUUAUUUUCGACUCGUUCAAAUCAAAUUUUAUUAUCUGACUCUCAUACCAAAUCUCCAUCAAAUAUUACAUAAUUUAUAUCUAUUACAUUGCAUCCUUAGCUUAUUGUAUAUAAUCAUCAAACAGCUGUUCUCUGAUACAUUUAAUAUGAUAUAAGUAAUUAUAUGUUAAGGCUCAAGCAAUAAAUUGUUGCAAUGAAUUGGAUCAUGUAAGUUCUAUUCAUGAAGUGUGACCAAAUAAUGUGGAGAUAUUUACCCCCUUCACUAAACAUUAAUUCGACAAUAUUUUAAUGGAGAAACUUAUGGAAUUGUCCUUUUAUUCUUACUAACAACAAUAAAUUUCUUAGAUAAAGUUCUAUACAACAUCUGAUAUAUUUUUACUUUAUAUCUGCAGGCCAUUUAUCCAAGAAUUGGUUUAGAUCCAUCAAGAGUGGAGCACAGAUUGAAAGAAUUAGUGAGGAGGGAAGCUUAAUUCCAUAGGAAAUUUGUUCCAUGAAAUGAAACACUGGAAUCUUAGUCAAAUGUAACUUAAUUCAGCUCCACAUGAAACCAAAAAAACAAAAGAAGAAAGAAAAAUGUUAAGUGUAGGAUGUUUGAUUUCUGCCCUUUGUAAU
rnacentral:lncRNA from 1 species